rnacentral:rRNA from 1 species
CUUGACUGUAGCCUGGAAUUGGGUUUGGGCUCUUUUUGCGCAGCCUAGGUGGGAGGCGUUGAGAGUAUCUUUUCGGAGAUACUGGAGCCAUCAGUGAGAGACCACUCUGAAAGAGCUAGAAUUCUAAUGGCGAUCCUUGAAUCAGGACGCUUGACAGUUUCAGGCGGGCAGUUUGACUGGGGCGGUCGCCUCCUAAAAGGUAACGGAGGCGUGCAAAGGUUCCCUCAGGUUGGACGGAAAUCAACCGUAGCGUGUAAAGGCAGAAGGGAGCUUGACUGCAAGACCUACAAGUCGAGCAGGGGCGAAAGCCGGCCUUAGUGAUCCGACGGUACCGUGUGGAAGGGCCGUCGCUCAACGGAUAAAAGUUA